AAGAGCUCAAAUUUGAAAGCUGGCGUCUUCGGCGUCCGCGUUGUAAUCUCGAGACGUGUUUUCCGUGCGGCUCUAUGGACAAGUCCCUUGGAACAGGGCAUCGUAGAGGGUGAAAAUCCCGUACUUGCCAUGGAAGUACCGUGCUUUGUGAUACACGCUCCAAGAGUCGAGUAGUUUGGGGUUGCUGCUCAAAGUGGGUGGUAGACUCCAUCUAAAGCUAAAUAUCGGGGAGAGACCGAUAGCGAACAAGUACCGUGAGGGAAAGAUGAAAAGCACUUUGGAAAGAGAGUUAAAAGUACGUGAAAUUGUCGAAAGGGAAGCACUUGAAGUCAGCCAUGCUGCUUGAGACUCAGCCUGGCUUUUGCUUGGUGUAUUUCUCGGUAGCAAGCCAGCAUUGGUUUGUGUCGUCGGAGAAGCGUAUGGGGA
rnacentral:rRNA from 1 species